GAUGAACGCUGGCGGCGUGCCUAAUACAUGCAAGUCGAGCGAACAGACGAGGAGCUUGCUCCUCUGACGUUAGCGGCGGACGGGUGAGUAACACGUGGAUAACCUACCUAUAAGACUGGGAUAACUUCGGGAAACCGGAGCUAAUACCGGAUAAUAUAUUGAACCGCAUGGAUCAAUAGUGAAAGACGGUUUUGCUGUCACUUAUAGAUGGAUCCGCGCCGCAUUAGCUAGUUGGUAAGGUAACGGCUUACCAAGGCAACGAUGCGUAGCCGACCUGAGAGGGUGAUCGGCCACACUGGAACUGAGACACGGUCCAGACUCCUACGGGAGGCAGCAGUAGGGAAUGUGCCGCAAGGGGCGAAAGCCUGACGGAGCAACGCCGCGUGAGGGAUGAAGGUCUUGGGAUCGAAAAACUCUGUUAUGAGGGAAGAACAAAUGUGUAAGUAACUAUGCACGUCUUGAGGGUACCUAAUCAAAACGCCGCGGCUAUCUACG
rnacentral:rRNA from 1 species